GCUGGCGGCGUCCUUAACACAUGCAAGUCGAACGGGAUCCAUCAGGCUUUGCUUGGUGGUGAGAGUGGCGAACGGGUGAGUAAUGCGUGACCGACCUGCCCCAUACACCGGAAUAGCUCCUGGAAACGGGUGGUAAUGCCGGAUGCUCCAGUUGAUCGCAUGGUCUUCUGGGAAAGCUUUCGCGGUAUGGGAUGGGGUCGCGUCCUAUCAGCUUGACGGCGGGGUAACGGCCCACCGUGGCUUCGACGGGUAGCCGGCCUGAGAGGGCGACCGGCCACAUUGGGACUGAGAUACGGCCCAGACUCCUACGGGAGGCAGCAGUGGGGAAUAUUGCACAAUGGGCGCAAGCCUGAUGCAGCGACGCCGCGUGAGGGAUGGAGGCCUUCGGGUUGUAAACCUCUUUUAUCGGGGAGCAAGCGAGAGUGAGUUUACCCGUUGAAUAAGCACCGGCUAACUACGUGCCAGCAGCCGCGGUAAUACGUAGGGUGCAAGCGUUAUCCGGAAUUAUUGGGCGUAAAGGGCUCGUAGGCGGUUCGUCGCGUCCGGUGUGAAAGUCCAUCGCUUAACGGUGGAUCCGCGCCGGGUACGGGCGGGCUUGAGUGCGGUAGGGGAGACUGGAAUUCCCGGUGUAACGGUGGAAUGUGUAGAUAUCGGGAAGAACACCAAUGGCGAAAGCAGGUCUCUGGGCCGUUACUGGA
rnacentral:rRNA from 1 species